rnacentral:ncRNA from 1 species
CAUCUUGGUCUUAGAUGUAAAAUUAUUUUUAGCUAGAAUAUACAUGCAAGCCUCCGCACCCCAGUGAGAACACCCUAUUAGAGCUAUAUCGCCUCUCAUUAGGAGUUGGUAUCAGGCACGGACUCCAGCCCAAAACACCUACUAUGCCACACCCCCACAGGGCCACCCAGCAGUAAAAAACACUAAGCAAUAAGAUCAUUACUUGACUUGGUUAUGGCUACCAACUAUUUAGGGCCGGUAAACCUCGUGCCAGCCGCCGCGGUUAUACGAGAGGCCCAAAAAAACCACUAACGGCACAAAACGUGACCAAAGCGUUAAUUACCAUCGACAGACACUAGAACUAAAACAAAGCUGUAAAAUGCCAUAUAUUUUUAGGAAUGGGCCACCCCCGUGUCAGUUAUUAAUUAAUCUUGCCUCACGAAAACUGGGACCCAAACUAGGAUUAGAUACCCUACUAUGCCCAGAUGUAAACAAAAAUGUGUGUAACACAUUUGCCAGAGUAUUACGAGCCGAUCGCUUAAAACUCAAAAGACUUGACAGCAUUUCAUAUCUAUCUAGAGGAGCCUGUCCUACAAUCGAUAACCCACGAUCGACCUCACCCACUUUCGCAAAACUCAGCCUAUAUACCUCCGUCGCCAGCUCGCCCGACAACAGAAACAAAGCGGGUAUAAUAGUCGCACACUAAAACGACAGGUCACGGUGUAGCUAAUAAGUCGGGCAGAGAUGGGCUACAUUUUCUAACUUAGAUCAUACCCACAACGCUAUGAAAUUUGCGUAACAAGGCGGAUUUAGUAGUAAAAUUGGCAAGACAAGCCAACCUGAAACAAGCCCUGAAAUGUGU